UCUAAACNCCCUCCGUCCCAAAAUUCUUGUCUUAAAUUUGUCUAAAUACGGAUGUAUCUAGUUACAUUUUAGUGUUAGAUACAUCCAUAUCUAAACAAAUGUAAGACAAGAAUUUUGGGACGGAGGGAAUACUAC
rnacentral:pre_miRNA from 1 species